rnacentral:rRNA from 1 species
CGCUGGCGAGAGGUGAACUCAUUGAUCCUAGCAGACUACCAAAAGCGAAAGCACUUGACUAGGCUAUACUCUUUGUGUUUUUAAAUUAAUUUAUAAUAUUUAUGUUGUUAUUAGUUUUUUUUUAAUUAUUUAUUUUAAUUAUUUUUAUUUGUGUAGUUUUAUGUUUUAACAGGAAAUCAUAAUUCGACGAUUUACACAAUAAAAGAAAAAAUCGAUAGUAAAGGUAUUAGGUAUUAUUUAUUAAAAAAUUUCACUUUACAAUGAAGAACGAAGGUUGGGGGAUCUAAGAGGAUCAGAUACCCUCGUCGUCCCAUUUGUUACAUCAAACGAUGGGUUCUCUAAUGCAUAGUUAUUAAUGUGUUUUGCCCUCAAUCUGCAAAAUAUUUGGUUGAGCUUUUGUUAAUUUUUAACAUGCUCACAAUUUGUUUUCGUAUAUUUUUCGAUGGACAUUUCAAUUGAUUUUUUUUUUGCGUGUAAGUAUUUACAUAAUAUUGCUUUUUGGCAAUUUGUGUCCUACACAUGGUUUUCUGAGCUUUGCGCUCAUAUUAUUUGGUGAGAUGUAAAUACUUGUUUUAAAUUAUAUUUGACAUUUUGUAUAUUUUUAGUAAUAUACUUUUUGUAUUUGAUAUAUUUUUUAUGAAUUUGCAAGUAUUAAUGCACGCGUUAGGCACGUGCUUACUGCAGAAAUGUCUGAGACAUUCCCCUCCGGGGGUAGUAUACACGCAAGUGUGAAACUUGAAGGAAUUGACGGAAGGGCACCACAAGAAUGCGUGGAGCAUGUGGCUUAAUUUGACUCAACGCGGGAAAUCUUACCGGGUCCGGACAUACUGAAGAUUGACAGGAAAUGAAUGAUGAUUUGGAAUCCUUAACCGGUGACCUCUUACACUAAACUGCUAGCCCUUUCAUAAUGGUAUGAUGUGUGGUGCAUGGCCGUUUUUAGUUCGUGGAGUGAUUUGUCUGCUUUAUUGCGUUUCGUAUAGGACUUAAAAUAACUGACAAUAAUAUGUACUUAUUUGUUAUACAUGAUAUUUUAUUUUUUUGAUUUUUGAUUUUUUUGUGGAUUUGUAAGUAUGUCUUAGUUACUGAAAGCAACGAACGUGACCGUUAGUGUUUAGUUAGUCAUUGUACAUCGAGUGCUUUAUUUAACUAGAGAGACAGCUGCGAUUUAUUUUAAACCAGAGGAAGGUUGCGGCAAUAACAGGUCUGUGAUGCCCUCAGAUGUUCCGGGCUGCACACGUGCUACAAUGAUCAUUGCAGUUAGCAUCUAUUUGAGUAAGUAGUGCUGUGUAUUUCUUUUAUUUAUUUGUAAUAUUCGAUACAUAGUCGACGCUCUAUCCGCUUCGAGAGUUAGCUGGGAAUCAAUUGGAAGUAAUGAUUUCUCUAUUUGAAUUUUUUUUUUUAGUAGCACAUUCAUUAUGUUGUUAACAACUGAAAAGUAAUUAGCAAUAGCUAAAUGUUUUCAACAUGUGCUUUUUUGUCAACUCUUGGUGGGGACAGACCAUUGUAAAUUGUUGGUUCUCGGUCUUAACUAGGAAGCCCUUUGUACACACCGCCCGUCGCUCUUACCGAUGGACUUCUCUGUGAGUUUGGGGGAUUAGUUUAUGAACCCAUACGAACAGUGUGGUUCUAAAGGAAAGAGAAGUCGUAACAAGGCAUCGGUAGGUGAACCUGCAGAAGGAUCA